rnacentral:rRNA from 1 species
GAUGAACGCUGGCGGCGUGCCUAAUACAUGCAAGUCGAGCGAACAGACGAGGAGCUUGCUCCUCUGACGUUAGCGGCGGACGGGUGAGUAACACGUGGAUAACCUAUCUAUAAGACUGGGAUAACUUCGGGAAACCGGAGCUAAUACCGGAUAAUAUAUUGAACCGCAUGGUUCAAUAGUGAAAGACGGUUUUGCUGUCACUUAUAGAUGGAUCCGCGCCGCAUUAGCUAGUUGGUAAGGUAACGGCUUACCAAGGCAACGAUGCGUAGCCGACCUGAGAGGGUGAUCGGCCACACUGGAACUGAGACACGGUCCAGACUCCUACGGGAGGCAGCAGUAGGGAAUCUUACGCAAUGGGCGAAAGCCUGACGGAGCAGCGCCGCGUGAGUGAUGAAGGUCUUCGGAUCGUAAAACUCUGUUAUUAGGGAAGAACAAAUGUGUAAGUAACUAUGCACGUCUUGACGGUACCUAAACAGAAAGCCACGGCUAACUACGUG